rnacentral:rRNA from 1 species
GAGUUUGAUCCUGGCUCAGAAUGAACGUUGGCGGCGUGGAUUAGGCAUGCAAGUCGAGGGAGAACCCGCAAGGGGGACACCGGCGAACGGGGUAGGAUCACGUAGGUGACGUACCCCCAGGGCGAGGAUAGCCACGGGAAACUGUGGGUAAUACUCGAUAACCUUCCCGAUCAUGAUCGGCUGGGAAGCAAUGGGUGUGAUUCCACCUGGGGAGCGGCUUACGCAGUAUCAGCUAGUUGGUGAGGUAACGGCUCACCAAGGCAUUGACGCUUAGGGGGUGUGAGAGCAUGGCCCCCACCACUGGCACUGAGACACUGGCCAGACACCUACGGGUGGCUGCAGUCGAGAAUCUUCGGCAAUGGACGAAAGUCUGACCGAGCGACGCCGCGUGCGGGAUGAAGGUCUUCGGAUUGUAAACCGCUGUCGGAGGGGAUGAAGUAUACCAGAGCAAUCUCUGGUAUUUGACAGAGCCUCGGAGGAAGCACGGGCUAAGUUCGUGCCAGCAGCCGCGGUAAUACGAACUGUGCGAACGUUAUUCGGAAUCACUGGGCUUAAAGGGUGCGUAGGCGGUCAUCUCAGUCACGUGUGAAAUCUUCUGGCUCAACCAGAAAACUGCGCGUGAAACUAGUUGACUUGAGUGAGGUAGGGGUGUGUGGAACUUCCGGUGGAGCGGUGAAAUGUGUAGAGAUCGGAAGGAACGCCAGCAGCGAAAGCGGCACACUGGGCCUUUUCUGACGCUGAGGCACGAAAGCUAGGGGAGUGAACGGGAUUAGAUACCCCGGUAAUCCUAGCCGUAAACACUGAACACUGGAGGACGGGGGCUUCGGCCUUCGUGCUCGUAGCGAAAGCGUUAAGUGUUCCGCCUGGGGAGUAUGGUCGCAAGGCUGAAACUCAAAGGAAUUGACGGGGGCUCACACAAGCGGUGGAGCAUGUGGCUUAAUUCGAGGCAACGCGAAGAACCUUAUCCUGGGUUUGACAUGCAUGGAUUAACCCGAUGAAAGUCGGGCCACGCUCGCAAGAGUGGACAUGCACACGUGCUACAAUGGC